rnacentral:rRNA from 1 species
CAAGGAAUUGACGGGACCGCACAAGCGGUGGAUGAUGUGGUUUAAUUCGAUGCAACGCGAAAAACCUUCCACCUUUGACAUGUACGGAAUCCUUUAGAGAUAGAGGAGUGCUCGAAAGAGAGCCGUAACACAGGUGCUGCAUGGCUGUUGUCAGCUCGUGUCGUGAGAUGUUGGGUUAAGUCCCGCAACGAGCGCAACCCUUGUCAUUAGUUGCUACGAAAGGGCACUCAAUGAGACUGCCGGUGACAAACCGGAGGAAGGUGGGGAUGACGUCAAGUCCUCAUGGCCCUUAUGGGUAGGGCUUCACACGUCAUACAAUGGUCGGUACAGAGGGUUGCCAACCCGCGAGGGGGAGCUAAUCCCACAAAGCCGAUCGUAGUCCGGAUCGCAGUCUGCAACUCGGCUGCGUGAAGUCGGAAUCGCUAGUAAUCGUGGAUCAGCAUGUCACGGUGAAUACGUUCCCGGGUCUU